AAGUCGAGCGGAUGAGAAGAGCUUGCUCUUCGAUUCAGCGGCGGACGGGUGAGUAAUGCCUAGGAAUCUGCCUGGUAGUGGGGGACAACGUUUCGAAAGGAACGCUAAUACCGCAUACGUCCUACGGGAGAAAGCAGGGGACCUUCGGGCCUUGCGCUAUCAGAUGAGCCUAGGUCGGAUUAGCUAGUUGGUGAGGUAAUGGCUCACCAAGGCGACGAUCCGUAACUGGUCUGAGAGGAUGAUCAGUCACACUGGAACUGAGACACGGUCCAGACUCCUACGGGAGGCAGCAGUGGGGAAUAUUGGACAAUGGGCGAAAGCCUGAUCCAGCCAUGCCGCGUGUGUGAAGAAGGUCUUCGGAUUGUAAAGCACUUUAAGUUGGGAGGAAGGGCAUUAACCUAAUACGUUAGUGUUUUGACGUUACCGACAGAAUAAGCACCGGCUAACUACGUGCCAGCAGCCGCGGUAAUACAGAGGGUGCAAGCGUUAAUCGGAAUUACUGGGCGUAAAGCGCGCGUAGGUGGUUUGUUAAGUUGGAUGUGAAAGCCCCGGGCUCAACCUGGGAACUGCAUCCAAAACUGGCAAGCUAGAGUACGGUAGAGGGUGGUGGAAUUUCCUGUGUAGCGGUGAAAUGCGUAGAUAUAGGAAGGAACACCAGUGGCGAAGGCGACCAC
rnacentral:rRNA from 1 species